AUCUUUUCUUUUUUUUUAUCUAGAGAGUUUUUGUUCAAAACCAACCCAGGAUAAACAGCAGCAAUAAAUUACUGCAUUGGAGACCCACAUAUGAGCCCAGGUCAUUGCUAUGCUGCUUCUCCCGCUUAAGGCCCUGUCUCCCUUCCAAAAGGACCAGCACGCCUUUGAGGAGGCACAUUAAGGAGAAGCACUACUGCGUGGCUGCAGUGAUGGAAGCUAUUUUUAUGUGGAGGUUAAAAAGAAUGAAAGAAGCCUAAAUUUACCAUUUUCUUCCUCAUGCAAAUCUUCAGGGAGAAUGAUAAUUUCACAUGGACAAAGGAGAGGAAGAAAGCCUGAAAACAGCUGUCAUCUUUGUGCAUAAGAAUGAAGGAUGCAUUAAAACCCUAGAGAUGCUCUAAGGGGGUAGCAAUCCCAGAGAGCACCCUGGGGUUCUAGGAGGCAACUUGAUCAUCCUCUGUACUGGAAACUGCUUACUUUACCAUCCAGAGAUGCUUGAAGAUGACCUUACCAUGAGUUUUAUGCAUUUUGGGAGCAUAAAGCUGCACAGUGGUAUUGCAUCAGUGAUAGCCAUUUCAUUCCAACCUGUUUCCAUUGUUUUUCUAUAGCACCCUUCAUAAAUCUCCAUCUCAACCUUC
ensembl:lncRNA